AUUUCAUGUAACAUACACUUUUAGCAAGGCUAGCAGGAAACCAACCUAUUUUACAGGAAAUGGACAUUUCCAAGUCACUGUCUACCUCAAGUCAGAGACAUAAUGUUGAUGUUUCCCACGCAGGGAAAUGUCCCCACAAUAAUUUCAGAGCAAAAUGUUCAAAAUAUGUAAAAUGUUAAAGACUGCUAGCAUCUACAGAAUCCAAGCAAAAUAAAUUGAGGAGGGAUUUUUGCUGUUUUGUUGUUGUUGUUGUUGUUGUUACUGUUUCAUGUGGAGUCAAAAUUAAGCUUGUAGACCUAUAAAUCAUUCACCAAUCUAUCAAAAUCGAUAUCAAAAUAACAGCGUGGUAAUGGUGAAAACUGGAAAGAUCCUUUCCACACAUUGCUUUAAGUUCUGGCAAAGAGACAGUAGCAAAUGAUCCUAGCAAACUAACUUUUUAAAGCACUGCAUUUUGGCAUAGCAUACUCUUGAAAUAUUCUGUGGACUAAUCAGUUUUCUUUCCCUUUUUCUUUCAUGAGCUGUCUCCUUCCUUCCACAGACUGUAGUGAAGUGCAUGGACAUAAGGCUGUGAGGCUCCUUUUAUCUUGCUAACCCACCCAAAGCUUAAAUGAACGCUAAUGCUGAAAGGAGCUAUAUUAACAAUUGAUGUGACUUAAUGGACCAAUUUUUUCUGACACACAAACUCAAUUCUUCACUGAACUUUAUUUAAUUUCUCUGUAUCCCUAAUUACUCGUGAAGAUUUGUUUUUUGAUUACAUGCUAUAUCGUGAACUGCAACCAACACCUAUUGGAAUGAAUUUUACCCUAGUCAAGCAACUCCUCCACCAUCCUGAUCUGGUGAACCUCCUACAGCAGGACACAGAAAGCAGGACAAAAGACUCUUAUCACAGACCAUCAUGAUGGUGAAGAAAUACAUCAAGUGUUGGAGAGAGUCAAAAAGGACAGAGAACAUCAGUGGUGCUUAGAUGGUCUCCUACGGCAACUGGAGUACUGAACCUGACACUACACCCUAUGAUGAUUUUACUAACUCUUAUCAUUUGAUGUUUACUGUUAACCGUUGCUUUAUACAUCAGGGUUUGGAGGGUGGCAAAACAAGCUGUGCUUCUGAAAAAUCUCCCUCACGUGUACAAAACAGUUUAAAUUUUCAGCUUAUACAACUGGGCAUGUGAAAACAAAGGAAUAAGCGUUGUACUUUAAUUCAUGCUAAUGAUUCCCAAAGUAGCACACAUACAGGCAUAAACCAUUUGCCAAUACAUUCAUCCAACUGAAGCAAGAGGUAACCCUGCUACGGCUCCGUGAGGACAAAGCAAAUUGACUGCAGUCACAGGGUGGAAUGUGGCAGGUACACUCUAUUCCUGCUCUUGGCGUAAGUCUUGCUCAGGCUUAUGAGCCACAGUAGGCCUCAACGUGAUCAUUCCUUGAACUGGACAGCUCAUUCAUAACAGAGCGCCAGGCAGAUGCUCGAUGCCAUGAAAUCUCUCAUGGGAAAAUGAUAAAUCACAUCAGAGUCCAAGAACAACAUGAUAAGGAAUCUGAGUUUGACUAGGAGUCAGCCACUUUAUCUAAAAAAUAUGGCACAGCAUCAUCCUUUUGUUGUCUAUGAUCCAAGGAAAAUCUGUCACAGCAUUGUUCCUCUGUUAUCUACACAGUGUGGUGAAGCCUGACACUGCCUCCCUUGCUAUUUUUACGAUACAGGCAUGGGACGAUCAGGCCUCUCCCUUGACUGUAUCCAAGGUCCCUGUGGCACAGCUAAUUGACAAGGGCACAAUUAAGUGCUAAGGGGAGGGGAAUUGCACAACCUGAGCCACAAAGUGAAAAAGGCCCGAAUCCUGGAAAAUCACUGACUAAAAGUCAAUUAUCUUAUGAUCCUAUAAAUAGUGAUCCCAAGCAAGAACUCUUGGAGCUCUCCAGGGACGGUAGCGGGCUGCACCCUCAGUCUCUCCAGGAGCUGGGAUGCCUCUCAGGGCACGUGAGAGGAGAAGCACAUCUCAGGGAUGACUCCUGAGGAACAAGCUCAACUACAGACAAAUGCUGAUGGGGGAGUAAGUGAAAAUCCUAUGACUUGCUCUGAAAGUAGGCUCAAAGGAACAGAGAAACUCAUCCCAGCCACCUAACUGGAGGCAACCCAAAGCUUUGGCUUCGAAGAAUAUUUUGAUUUUAAGUAACUCAGCCACAGAAAACAGGUACCUUCUGUGGCAUCACUACCUAUGAAUUCUCUUCAGUUCUCUUGCACUGCAGCCUGGAGAUUGUCCCGUUAACACAUCCAACCAUUCUACAAAAUGGCAACAGAACGGCCUGGUGGAUAAGAAAUGGCAGAAUCAGCCAAAGCAGCAAUGGUUGCCCUGCAGGGGAACAAAGAAAAUGGUUACUACUGUAAGGCAGAGCAUGUAUCUGUGUGGGUCUCCCAUUCCAUCAGCACAAAGAUCAGGUGGUACCUUCUGGCACAAGUGCACAAGCAUUCACAGUACCUCAGGGAAAAAAAUGUAUAUUUUUUGAGAGAGAUGCCAGAUGGCAAAUCAAGCCAAGGGAAAACAAGAGCUACCGAAGCUCUGACCAGCCAACAGAAAAACUCUGUUUGCCAGAUGUCUCUUUUCUCCCAGUUUUUGAGGGGACUGAGGUAUUUAGAUUACUUAUUGUUCAGUGCUGGCAUAAUGAAACCUGAUUCUCAGUUGCUCACAGACAUGACUAGCAGCAACAAGAAUAACUAACUUUAUUGAUAAAUAGCUCAUCAGGUGAAAGUGGACAUAGGUUAUAUAGAAUGAGUCAGCAAUUCUACUUCAAGUAUGAGAGGCUGAAACUGCAGUAGUCCAAACAGAAUGAGUAUCAGCUAGGUUACAAGCAGGUAUAUGAGUGAUUAGUUGAAGUUUGAACAUAAUCUUUAAGAGACCUUCAUAGGUCUGCCCAGGCCCUAUGAAUCUGUGUUUGUGCAUUCACAUACACAGCAUUGCUGUCACAACAGCUCUUUGGGAGAUAUUCUAGAGUGAAUGGAGCUACUGAUGCAGGAUGAGUAUUGAAAGGAAGAGCUUCAGGAAGAGCAAACAAGAACAAUCCCAUCAGAGACUAUGUUAUAACUUAGGAGGUAAAACAACAUAGUAGGAGGUAAGGGGUGAAACCACUUCCAUGGGUAAAAGAAAGACUAUUCAUGCUGAGAAUAGUCAUUAACUUGAUGAGAGGAAGCCGUUAGCUUCUUUGCUUGAUUUUUUUUUUGAAAGAUUGAUGCAGGAAACACUCAAAAAGGGCUUAAGCAAAGGUAGGACCCACACUGGUGACCACUGUCCACAUAGAGCAUCUGUGGCAGAGGAAUGUGAAAAGCUUAGAUGCCUGCAGGCUACGAGAAAACUGAGCAGAGGGCUUCUGAAUAACUAAAUUUUGAGUUUAGACACUUAUAAAGAAAGCUAAGUAUAUAUCUAUUUUUUUGAACCUAGCCCCCUUUUAAAACAAAACAAAACAAAACAAACAAAAAAAAACAGCAUCACUGUAGCAUAUCAUGAGGUUCUGUGGAUGUUGUAGAGUUUGCUUCUGAUCUGUAGUACAAAACUGAAGCCAGAGAUAAUGCCACAGAGGAAAGUGGAACAUGGUGGUGUAAAAAGUGUUAAAGGAGACCAAAAUCUGCCCUGCAACUAGAGAUGUCUGUAAAGACUGGAUGUUCUUUGAGUCAUUAUGUAACACAUGGCAUCAAAAUAUUCAGUUGCUUCCAGAAUUUUGAAAAGUAAUGAAAAUAAAGUCAUUUUUAAAAGAGAUGAAGCCAUGAUUUUUAAGAAUUGUGCUGAAUACAUUUUUGCCUUGCUGGAUUGUUGUAUAUGAAAGUGUGUUAUUAAAAGCAGCACUGGGUCACUUUAUCUUCUCUAUCAAAAUAAAUAUCCUUUAACUUUUUUUUCUAUGAAGUAUGUAAGGGUACGAUAAGGAGAAGCUGAAAAAUUAGUAACAGAUCUUUGAAAUGGAAAUUGCCUAAUAAAUGAUUAUCAGUGAUAACAGAUGACUUGUAGAAUGUGAUAAUGCAUCAAGGAAAUGUUUUUUGAAAUGCUGAUGCAAGCAAGCCUCUAAAAUAGACUCUUAUUGCUACAGCAUGUCCAAAAAUCUUCUCUUCAAUCACUGUACUUCUAAAGUAUGUCUAUGCACACUGAUAUUGGCAAUGUACCUGGUAUAUUCACAAAAAAUAAUGAUUUUGGAAGAAAGUGUAGGUGACGUGGCAGGCAUGACUUUUGCAUUAAACAAUAAGAAACUGCUAUUGUUCUCUGGAUUCUGAUUUGUAAAAAAAUUUAAUUAGUAAAACAAGGUUUCUAAAAUAUCUAUAAAUUUUUGGAGUUACCAUUCUUGGCCUUUCAGGUUUCAGAUGACUACAAAUUAAUCACAAACUGAAGAAAAGUGGAUUCAGUGGGGGAAGAAAGAGGGGAAGGGUUGUGAGUAUUUGUUUUCAUUCAGAUCACAGUCAAAUUUGUGAGAUCAAUGUAAUCUUAGGCCUUCUUUGUGUAAAAUGUGUGGCCUGUUUUUGUUAAUAAAGUGUUUUUCAAUAAUGGCAGGAGAAGAAC